rnacentral:rRNA from 1 species
GAGGUUGUGCCCUUGAGGCGUGGCUUCCGGAGCUAACGCGUUAAGUAGACCGCCUGGGGAGUACGGCCGCAAGGUUAAAACUCAAAUGAAUUGACGGGGGCCCGCACAAGCGGUGGAGCAUGUGGUUUAAUUCGAUGCAACGCGAAGAACCUUACCUGGUCUUGACAUCCACAGAACUUUCCAGAGAUGGAUUGGUGCCUUCGGGAACUGUGAGACAGGUGCUGCAUGGCUGUCGUCAGCUCGUGUUGUGAAAUGUUGGGUUAAGUCCCGCAACGAGCGCAACCCUUAUCCUUUGUUGCCAGCGGUCCGGCCGGGAACUCAAAGGAGACUGCCAGUGAUAAACUGGAGGAAGGUGGGGAUGACGUCAAGUCAUCAUGGCCCUUACGACCAGGGCUACACACGUGCUACAAUGGCGCAUACAAAGAGAAGCGACCUCGCGAGAGCAAGCGGACCUCAUAAAGUGCGUCGUAGUCCGGAUUGGAGUCUGCAACUCGACUCCAUGAAGUCGGAAUCGCUAGUAAUCGUGGAUCAGAAUGCCACGGUGAAUACGUUCCCGGGCCUUGUACACACCGCCCGUCACACCAUGGGAGUGGGUUGCAAAAGAAGUAGGUAGCUUAACCUUCGGGAGGGCGCUUACCACUUUGUGAUUCAUGACUGGGGUGAAGUCGUAACAAGGUAACCGUAGGGGAACCUGCGGUUGGAUCACCUCCUUA